CUAUGACUGGCCGCUGCGCCGCUGUGCUGCUGUGCCAUCUCCCUCUCUCGUUUACAUCUGUUUUAAAACACUGGGGUCUCUCCGUUGCAGAUGGUAACCUACUAAUCCAUGUCCCCAGUCUCAUCAAUAUCUCUCAUUUUUUAUCUAUUUUAUUCGAUUCCUUGUAUCUCCAUGCCUCUUUUUAUGUGUUUUUUCGGUUUGUUGGUGGAGAAGCCAUCUCCAAGCUUCUUAGUUACCCUUUUUCUUUUUUCUUUCCCUUCUUUCUCCUUCUGUGGAUUUUUCAUCCCUAGUUUCUCCGACAGCUUUUAAAAAACCCUUACAGUGGAAGGAGUGAAGCUGCCAGCAUGAUCUAGCUUUGGUUGGUUGAGAUGAGGGGGUCUAUAAUAUAAUAAAACCUACUACAUACUCCAAGUACUCAAGCUUAGCUAGGUCAUGCUCGACAGCCUCACUCUUUCCCUUUUUGGGAGCUCAAGCUUAAAGCGGAAGUACCCUUAAACAAACAAAUCUCUGAGCCGGCCAUGUUUGCUGUUAGAUCUACAUUCUACAACAGAGAUGGAGCUCAUUAAUUAAUAAAUAAGGGUUUCUUUGUCUUCUCUUUCAUGAGUUUUCUCAUUAUUUCUUGUGUAUGUUCUUAGAAUUCACUCUGUUGCUUAUGCUGGGACUUUCAAGGAUUGGCAGAGUUUUGUUAUUUAAUAUCACAGAAAGCCCAUAUGCCUUCUUUGUACUAUUUUAUUUUCUUAGUUUCAUGGAGGUAUGUUGUCCUAUAUCUGGAAAUAAAGUGAUUAGGAUGUUCAUCUGAA